CGUAGGGAGCAAGCGUUGUCCGGAUUCACUGGGUGUGAAGGGUGCGUAGGCGGGAAGGUAAGUCAGUGGUGAAAUCUCACAGCUCAACUGUGAAACCUGCAGUUGAUACUGCUUUUCUUGAGUUCGGGAGAGGUUGAUAGAAUUCCAGGUGUAGCGGUGAAAUGCGUAGAUAUCUGGAAGAAUACCAGUGGCGAAGGCGGUCAACUGGCCCGAAACUGACGCUGAGGCACGAAAGCGUGGGGAGCGAACAGGAUUAGAUACCCUGGUAGUCCACGCCCUAAACGAUGAAUACUUGGUGUUGGCCAGCAAUGGUCAGUGCCGAAGGAAACCUGUUAAGUAUUCCACCUGGGGAGUACGCUCGCAAGGGUG
rnacentral:rRNA from 1 species